rnacentral:misc_RNA from 1 species
GAUGAAGAACGUAGCGAAAUGCGAUACGUAAUGUGAAUUGCAGAAUUCAGUGAAUCAUCGAAUCUUUGAACGCAUAUUGCGCUCUCUGGUAUUCCGGAGAGCAUGCUUGUUUGAGUAUCAGUAAACACCUCAACUCCCUUUUCUUUUUUGAAAUGGAAGCUGGACUUGAGUGAUCCCAACACUUUUCUCACUGGAAAGUGGCGGGUCACUUGAAAUGCAGGUGCAGCUGGACUUUUCUCUGAGCUAUAAGCAUAUCUAUUUAGUCUGCCUAAAAAACAGAUUAUUACCUUUGCUGCAGCUAACAUAAAGGAGAUGAGUUCUUGUGCUGACUGAUGCAGGAUUCACAGAGACAGCUUUGCGGCUGACUUUGUAAACUCGAUCUCAAAUCAAGUAAGACUACCCGCUGAACUUAAGCAUAUCAAUAAGCGGAGGA